rnacentral:rRNA from 1 species
GACGAACCGAGCGAACGUUGUUCGGAAUCACUGGGCUUAAAGGGCGCGUAGGCGGACUAUCAAGUCUGGGGUGAAAUCCCGCGGCUCAACCGUGGAACUGCCUCAGAUACUGACGGUCUCGAGGGAGGUAGGGGCAUGCGGAACUGUAGGUGGAGCGGUGAAAUGCGUUGAUAUCUACAGGAACUCCGGUGGCGAAAGCGGCGCGCUGGACCUCUUCUGACGCUGAGGCGCGAAAGCUAGGGGAGCAAACGGG